rnacentral:misc_RNA from 1 species
GAUGAAGAACGUAGCGAAAUGCGAUAAGUAAUGUGAAUUGCAGAAUUCAGUGAAUCAUCGAAUCUUUGAACGCACAUUGCACCCCUCGGUAUUCCGAGGGGCAUGCCUGUUCGAGCGUCAUUAUAACCCUUCAAGCUCAGCUUGGUGUUGGGGCCUGCUGUAACUGGUAGCCCUUAAAAUCAGUGGCAGUGCUAUUAGGCUCUAAGCGUAGUAAUUCUUCUCGCUAUAGUGUGUAGUGAGCGCUUGCCAGAACCCCAAACUUUUAUAUGAUUGACCUCGGAUCAGGUAGGGAUACCCGCUGAACUUAAGCAUAUCAAUAAGCGGAGGA